AUUUCUUCGGAGAGUUUGAUCCUGGCUCAGGAUGAACGCUGGCGGCGUGCCUAAUACAUGCAAGUCGAGCGAACUGAUUAGAAGCUUGCUUCUAUGAC
rnacentral:rRNA from 1 species